rnacentral:rRNA from 1 species
UACGAGGGAUGCAAGCGUUAUCCGGAAUUAUUGGGCGUAAAGCGUCCGCAGGUGGUUAUACAAGUCUGCCGUCAAAGCGUGGAGCUUAACUCCAUACCGGCGGUGGAAACUGUAUGACUAGAGGUCAGUAGGGGUCACGGGAAUUCCCAGUGUAGCGGUGAAAUGCGUAGAUAUUGGGAAGAACACCAGCGGCGAAAGCGCGUGACUGGGCUGAUUCUGACACUCAUGGACGAAAGCUAGGGGAGCGAAA